rnacentral:rRNA from 1 species
CAGACGAUGCGUCAUGUAUAUCAAUAAGCGGAGGAAAAGAAACUAACAAGGAUUCCCUUAGUAACGGCGAGUGAAGCGGGAAGAGCUCAAAUUUGAAAUCUUCAAGGUUUUACCUUGACGAAUUGUAGUUUAAAGAAGUGUUUUCUGUUGAAGUUUUGGUAAAAGUUCUUUGGAAUAGGACAUCAUAGAGGGUGAGAAUCCCGUAUUUGACCAUUAUUUUCAGCUGUGUGAUACACUUUCAAAGAGUCGGAUUGUUUGGGAAUGCAGUCCAAAAUGGGUGGUAAAUUUCAUCUAAAGCUAAAUAUUGGCGAGAGAGCCGAUAGCGAACAAGUACCGUGAGGGAAAGAUGAAAAGAACUUUGAAAAGAGAGUUAAACAGUACGUGAAAUUGUCAAAAGGGAAGCGUUUGACACCAGUGUUGUUUCUCGAAAAUCAAUUAAAAAGAGUUGGAUUUUGUGUUGUAUUGACCUUAACAGCUUGCUUCACUCUUUUCCUGCUUUUUUUAAUGCACUUUUCGUUUAACAAGUCAACAUCAGUUUCUUUUGUUGUAAAAGGGUCAUUGGAAGGUGGCUUUCUCUUCGGAGAAAGUGUUUAUAGCCUUUGAUCUCUGCAAUCGGAGAGACUGAGGUCUGCAGCGUAGAUCCUUCGGGGUUAGAUACAUUUGUGCUAAGCUACAGCUUUUCAUAGACAACUUGUUGACUAUGUUUAGUCUUGUAACUUACCCGCUUAUGCUAUUUUACCUACGCUUAGGAUGUUGAUAUGCAUGACUGAUAU